GAUGAACGCUGGCGGCGUGCCUAAUACAUGCAAGUCGAGCGAACAGACGAGGAGCUUGCUCCUCUGACGUUAGCGGCGGACGGGUGAGUAACACGUGGAUAACCUACCUAUAAGACUGGGAUAACUUCGGGAAACCGAAGCUAAUACCGGAUAAUAUAUUGAACCGCAUGGUUCAAUAGUGAAAGACGGUUUUGCUGUCACUUAUAGAUGGAUCCGCGCCGCAUUAGCUAGUUGGUAAGGUAACGGCUUACCAAGGCAACGAUGCGUAGCCGACCUGAGAGGGUGAUCGGCCACACUGGAACUGAGACACGGUCCAGACUCCUACGGGAGGCAGAAGUAGGGAAUCUUCCGCAAUGGGCGAAAGCCUGACGGAGCAACGCCGCGUGAGUGAUGAAGGUCUUCGGAUCGUAAAACGCUGUUAUUAGGGAAGAACAAAUGUGUAAGUAACUAUGCACGUCUUGACGGUACCGAAUCAGAAAGCCACGGCUAACUACGU
rnacentral:rRNA from 1 species